rnacentral:lncRNA from 1 species
GCCAUUUAAGAAUCACACACAGUGUUAGUGGAGGAAUGAGGAGGAAGAGAGCUACUGCAUGGAAACUGUUGAAUGUUUACCACUGGGGAGAUUUCAGUGAGUACCAGAUUUCAAUGUGAUUUGUUUUCUAAACUCUAGAGGGAAACUGAGUCCCUGGAAAGGCCCAGCAGAGAUGGAUCCAAACAAGCUUUCAAUGGAAGAGGGCAAGCAGUUCCUUAAACAGUGUGGGAUCCCACAAAGAGAUGAAGUACAAUGAUCAAUCAAUGAAAGAUUUUGCCAAGAAGCCAAAUGUUACAAAGCAGAGUACAGGUGAUUACAUAAAACCUCCUUCGAAGAGACCCACUAGAGAGAACACACAGAAGAAAAAAUGCUUUAGAGCAGUGAGAAAAAGCACUCCAGAGGAAGAGGAGGAAGAAUCCAAGGUCAGUACCCCUGGGACUUUAGGAUUUUCAUUCUAUGUGUAGUUCAGAAAGUAGAUUUAACC